GGCAGAACUAGAUUAAAGCAAUGAAAAUUUCUCUGUGCACUCAUUAAGUUUUACAGGUACAUGAAAUAUGACAUCAAAAAAGGUUCUGUCGAUUAUGGAAAGUCAGAAUAUGUAGAAUAUGUCACUGACAGCUCUCAAGUAAAUAGGGCUGAAUUUUCAAUUACAUUGCAAGGGGUGCACCAUCAUUUUUCCUAACAUACAGUUGUAAUGGUUGUGUAGGCGUAGUGGUGCAAAUAGUAGAUGAGAAUUUAAUUCCAGUGAUACAAUUGUUUAUUUGCUGUUGUAGCACCACAAAUAGGUAUAAAUAAUUAACACAAGUCACAAAUAUCCAUUUUUUUUUUUCUAGUAUUUUGUGCUAAAAUUGAACUAAAUCAUCUGUAUACUUCCAUUGCUAUAGCCAGCUUAUGACUUUAAAGACGCUGGAUUUGUACCAUAUGUGUCAGUGGUAGCCUGAGAACUUGUGGGAUGCCAUCAGGAAUGUGGUUACACUGUGUAUUUCACUUUUUUAAAUGAUGUUCUUCAAAAGAGAGAUUUUUGCUAGGUGAGUUACACUCUUCAUUUCAAGAGUAGAUGCUCCUGAGAGCAUUAAAAAGAAAUGGUCAACUGUCUUUAGUAAUGUUUUCUUGUGAAUUUUAAUUCAUUUAAUAGAUACUUUUUAAAUCUGUAAUUACCUUCACUCCCAGUUCUAUGGGCAGAAUUAAUUACUUCUAUAAUAAUCAGUGAAAUAGUUUGUGGAAUUACCCUACAUUUGAAACACGUGGAAGAAAAUGUCUUCGGCUCUACGUCCAGAAGUUAACUUUGAAAAUAGCAGCCUGUUUAUUUGACGGAUAACAUUUUUUUCUUACCAAACUGUAUCUAAUCAAAUCCUUACAAAGCAAUGCCAUGCAUUCAAUGCAUGUCCCAUAAUUCUCUUUGGAGACAGUGCACAGCUGCUGCAGUUAGUAUUAGCUGCUUCUUAUGGCUUGGUAUUUUCUUUCAAUAAAAAUCACAGAUGGCUGGGUGUCUUUCACACCGUGAUUGUAAAUAUGAGCCCGGGUCAGGUGAAGAGGUGAUUCUGUGUGUGUAUGUACCUCUGGACUUUAGAAGGAUGUGGACUUGGUAUUGGAUGGAUAUCCAGGAACCACCAACAGGAUGGGGUUUCCCUAAUGCAAUUGAGAUUGGAGGUGUUCAGCUGCAUGGCACUGGAAGACACUUCCAUGGCCUUCAUUUCUGUUCAGGGAAAUAGAAGAGUUGCUGCAUUCCAGUUAUAAAGCUAUCAAAGAUGAUUUAUGUCUGUGAGAUCUUCUAUUCAUCACUGGAGAAUUUUAAUUUUUGGCAUAUUUGAUGUUUUGAUAUCAAGCAAAGGUGCUAUUGAGGAGGUGUACAAAUCUACUCUCUGCUUACAGACAAAUGGCUUCAAUAAUGGGAACAGGCAAGAGCCCAUUUAUCAAAUUGCUUUCUGUUCCCUACCAGUGUCUUAAAUAGGUAAGUAGGAGCCAGCUGCUUAUGUCUUUCAGAUGCUUGGUUAGCUAAAUGACAGCAUUAUGUGCUUCUGAUGAGAAGAUAUACAGCUGUGCAUUUCUGACAUACUGUCAGCACGAUAGCCCAUAACAUCUAACGAUCCCACCUCAUCUUCUGGUUACAUACGAUGUAAAUGAGAAAGAGAGUGGAGCUAUUUUGAUAAACUUAGGAAAAUGCUUAACAUGUUCAGCAAUAUAGCUCUCAAAAAUACAGUUCAUAAAAGUAUCUCUGAAUUCACACCUCUGUAUAAAGGUGCCAGACAAAACAAAGUUCUGCUUCUUCUCGUUCCCAUUUCAUGUUAAGAUUGUGACAGCAAUCUUCAGUAAAUUGAAAGGGUUUCAAAUGGAGCAACUAACAUGAGCUAGGAGUAGGCUGAUUGGGCACACCUAUACUGCUAAAUACAAGAGAGUUGGGCAGCAGUUUCCAACCCCAAAUCCCAAUGGUGCAAAGACUUCUGGUGACUCCAUCUGAAGAAGGCUGGUCACAUCAUUCCCCCAGCUUGGGUCUCUGUUUGAGGUAUGAAGACAUUUAGGGGAGACUGAGGACACAGUGACUUCUAGGACUGUGCUGGCAGAUUGUUUUGGGUGCAGGGAGCCAGCACUGAUGUGAUGUUUUCCUUGCUGACUUUUGCAACCGUUCCUAAGGAGAACCACGUCCCAGGCCACUGCCUGGGUUUGUCUUGGGGAGAUCUAGCUGGAUAGCUUCAAAAACAGGUCUACAGGAAAGUUAAGAAUUAAGAAAUGUGGACAAACAAGGUACAGUGCUUGGGCUUGUACUCUUCAAUAUGGCCGUGCAGGCAUAACCAUAAAACUAGUUUUUAUCUCAUCACUGUGUAUUUAAGGAGACAGAAAACUCAUUUCAACAGCUGACAACUUUUCUUCAGGCCAUCUGUCAAAUCCUGUGGACAGCUUUUUGGAGAAGACCUUGGCUGAACUUCAGGUAAUAGAUCAUCCUUUUUCCUAUGGAUCCCUUGGAACCCAAUAGGGUUUUUAUUUCAAAAUCAACUGAUGCAGCAUGAAGUUUUACUCCAUAUCAUCUAUGGCCUCUCCAGCACAAAUGCGUGAGGGCUUUGCCAAUGUCUCUCAUGUUCUGGAAGGUGAUCUAGGAGAGCAAGGAGCAAGAGGAAGAUACAGCGUAUGUCCCUGUUCGGAAAGCUGUAACUCAGUGGACUUUGCUGAUGUGUAGACAUCAGAAUUCUUGUGCAUUUUUUCUCUGGAACCACCACCCUCACUACUUGAGAGGGAGAGAAGUGUGCACACUACUUCGUUACAUACUAUGUUAGCAUCUAACGUGGAGUUGUAUUAUGCACAACCAUACUUCAUUUUGAUUCCUCAGAUUUGAUGCCUCACUUAUUUGCUUGUUCCACUCUUGUCAGUAUUCCACAUCCUCUUCUCCUAUAAAACGGUUUUUGCUUCUAUUUCAUUCUUUCAUAUUUUCAUUCAUAUCCUUUCAAGGUAUUUUCUGUUUAUACCAUGUGUGAAGAGAUAAGCCACAAAAUACAAAACAACACACACACACAUGUAUGCAAGCAAACAAACAAAAAAUGCGUUACUUCAUUUCUGAAGGAGGUAUUGAUAAUAUUACCAGAGGAAUUUAACAACAAAAGCUGAAAAUUUAUUUCACCAUUCAAAGAGGAAUAACCAGAAUUGUUUGGUCUGUUUUGUGCCCAGGGAAAUUUAGCUUUCGAGUCUUGAGUGUGUAGGUGCCUGAAAUUUAAUCUACAACAGCUUUUAUUUGGCUUGUAUUUUCAGUGUUUUUAUGUUAUUCUGUAAUUUGUAAUGGAAAGUUCAAAAUUUAUAAUUUCUAAAACUUUAAAAAAAAUCUUUUAAUUUUGAAAUAAAUCAUUAUUUUUUGGGGGGGGGCA
rnacentral:lncRNA from 1 species